GACGAACGCUGGCGGCGUGCUUAACACAUGCAAGUCGAACGGAAAGGCCCUGCUUUUGUGGGGUGCUCGAGUGGCGAACGGGUGAGUAACACGUGAGUAACCUGCCCUUGACUUUGGGAUAACUUCAGGAAACUGGGGCUAAUACCGGAUAGGAGCUCCUGCUGCAUGGUGGGGGUUGGAAAGUUUCGGCGGUUGGGGAUGGACUCGCGGCUUAUCAGCUUGUUGGUGGGGUAGUGGCUUACCAAGGCUUUGACGGGUAGCCGGCCUGGGAGGGUGACCGGCCCCAUUGGGACUGAGAUACGGCCCAGACUCCUACGGGAGGCAGCAGUGGGGAAUAUUGCACAAUGGGCGGAAGCCUGAUGCAGCAACGCCGCGUGCGGGAUGACGGCCUUCGGGUUGUAAACCGCUUUCGCCUGUGACGAAGCGUGAGUGACGGUAAUGGGUAAAGAAGCACCGGCUAACUACGUG
rnacentral:rRNA from 1 species